GCGUAKAGGUGCGGUGCCACGGCGUAUAUGUGCGGUGUGAUGAGGCGGGGCUACAGCUGCUGACGUGAACGGCGAUAAAAAUCUGAGAAGUUAAGAUACUGAAAAGUAAUGAAACAGGAGCUAAAAGGAUGUUUAUGAGAAGAACUGCUUCAUAUUCAUAGGCGCAGGUGAAUGCAGGUGAGGAAUUCAAGAUGGACAAAUGCCAAAAAUAAGCAUUCAAGUACCAAGUCACAGACUCUGCGAUCUAGAAGCUGUCAACUUCAGAAAUAUCACUGGUCAUGGAGAUUCAUGCCAAGUCUAAGGCAGAUACCCUGUACACAGACAACAAGUUAUGAUUCCAGCUUGAAGCCCAGAAGCUUCAAAAACAAGACUGGCAAGUUGCCAAAGAGAUACUUGACAUGCAAGGGAUUUUCUUUAUUUAUAGGUAACCUGCCCUCUGAAAAAACAAAAAACUCAACAACAGUAGACUGACAGGCAUAGGCUGAGAGCUUCGAAUAUGUUUCAACUUUGCAGUACUUUUGACUGAAGAAAAAGAUGGUGGCUGCAUAUAAUUCAUCCUUUCUGUCAGGAACAUGCUUCAGGUAGAAAGAAGAUUAUGGUGUGACAGUGAGAUUCCUUUAGAAGU
rnacentral:lncRNA from 1 species